GACGAACGCUGGCGGCGUGCUUAACACAUGCAAGUCGAACGGAAAGGCCCUGCUUUUGUGGGGUGCUCGAGUGGCGAACGGGUGAGUAACACGUGAGUAACCUGCCCUUGACUUUGGGAUAACUUCAGGAAACUGGGGCUAAUACCGGAUAGGAGCUCCUGCUGCAUGGUGGGGGUUGGAAAGUUUCGGCGGUUGGGGAUGGACUCGCGGCUUAUCAGCUUGUUGGUGGGGUAGUGGCUUACCAAGGCUUUGACGGGUAGCCGGCCUGAGAGGGUGACCGGCCACAUUGGGACAGAGAUACGGCCCGGCCUCCACCGGGAGGCAGCAGUGGGGAAUAUUGCACAAUGGGCGGAAGCCUGAUGCAGCAACGCCGCGUGCGGGAUGACGGCCUUCGGGUUGUAAACCGCUUUCGCCUGUGACGAAGCGUGAGUGACGGUAAUGGGUAAAGAAGCACCGGCUAACUACGUG
rnacentral:rRNA from 1 species